rnacentral:rRNA from 1 species
UACGAAGGGGGGCUAGCGUUGUCCGGAAUCAUUGGGCGUAAAGAGCGUGUAGGCGGCCCGGUAAGUCCGCUGUAAAAGUCAAAGGCUCAACCUUUGAAUGUCAGUGGAUACUGCCGGGCUAGAGUCCGGAAGAGGCGAGUGGAACUCCUGGUGUAGCGGUGGAAUGCGCAGAUAUCAGGAAGAACACCAACGGCGAAGGCAGCUCGCUGGGACGGUACUGACGCUGAGGCGCGAAAGCGUGGGGAGCGAACAGG